GAUCUGCUUUUGUAAUUGCCAUCUCUGGAAAGCUAUCUCACUCCUGAGAUUUUUGCUUAAAAACAAAAACAUAACUCAAUUUUUUUGUGCCUCUCAUCUAGGAGAUACUGGCAGAAGAAGCUAACCCUACUAAUCUCAGCAAGACAACCUCGAUCAAUGAAGGUAUUCUCCAGAGUGACUGAGAAGAUGUGUCAUAAACGAAUACACCCUCUAGCAUAAAGGGGAAAAGUGCAACAUCAAUCAGUGCGGAAAUCCCAUCCACAGCUGGAGUUCCUAUGCAUUACCCACAAUGUAAUUAGCAGCUAAGAAGAACAGUGAGAGCCGGUCUUCUCUUGGCUUCCUUUCCACGUGCCUGCGG
rnacentral:lncRNA from 1 species